GCGACCGCUUUGGGAGUUCGAUUAAGCCAUGCGAGUCGUGAGUCUUAGGGACUCGGCAUACUGCUCAGUAACACGUGGAUAACCUGCCCUAUCGUCUGGAAUAACCUCGGGAAACUGAGAAUAAGGCCGGAUAGUUCACAAUGCCUGGAACGGUUUGUGAAUCAAGGUAGGAUGGGCCUGCGGCGUAUCAGGUUGUAGGGGGUGUAACGUACCCUCUAGCCAUCCACGCGUACGGGUGUUGGGAGACAUUGCCCGGAGAUGGAUUCUGAGACACGAAUCCAGACCCUACGGGGUGCAGCAGGCGCGAAAACUUGGCAAUGCGAGAAAUCGUGACCAGGGAACUCCAAGUGGCAGGGGUAAGACCCUGUCUUUUUCCGACUCUAAAUA
rnacentral:rRNA from 1 species